GAAAGCUCCUGGAAGAAAUUGUAGGAUGCCUAGAAGCACUUUUGAGAGUAAUCCAAGAGAUUAUUUUCGAAAUCUACGAUCUUAUCCUGGUGAUCAACUUGUGUGAUUUGUUUUGAUUGUUAUUGAACUAGUAACUUUUUCGUUUUUAAAAUUUUUAAUCUAUGUUAUUUAAUUUUUGUAAUUUUCAUGUUUACUACUAUUAUGUAUUGUAUGUAUGGUUUUG
rnacentral:misc_RNA from 1 species